GCAGCAGCUCCCGGGAGGAUGCGCCCCAGGCGUGGGGAGCCGAGGAACCGCCGCGCGGCGCGUGGCGCGUGGCGAGUCGGGGAGAGACUGGUCUUGCUCGCUCAGGAGACCCUCAUCGCCCACAGAGCGCCCGCGGCGACCUGGUCAUGGACCUUUCAUUUCCUGACCUUGCUUAAUGACAGCGAGGUGAAAACAUCUGACAAACGAAGGGUAAAAGGCUGGAGUCCGCCAAAAGCCAAUUUAAGGCUUAACGUUGCAGACCGUUUGUCUUUACAAAAGCUUCAAAGACGGGGCUGCAGCUCCCGGUUAUCCCCACUUUGUCAAGCCGUGAAUCUGAAUGUUCGUGGGGUUGUGUGCAUCGAAUCAGCAAGAGCAAGGCAAGAAUUCAAUAGUUGUCUUUUUUAUCCCCCUUUCCAAGUCACAGGUUCAGAGGAUCAUCAUCUUUCUCCCACAUUAGCAAAACAUAUUUGCAUUUUUCAGUGAAGUUCUUUACCGCACGAGUGCCCUAAAAUAGCAAACAGUUCCCUGUUCAAAAGCAAUAGUAAAGAAAUUCGCCGAAGAGUUUAAUUGCCUGGGGACAGCUGCAGUAGUCGCAUCAUCGUCUCUUAUUAAACUGUUGCAGAAAUAUUCGGUCUAGUCCAUGUAUUUUCAACUAAAUAGCACUGCUUACGCAGUUGGUGAUAUCACGGAAGUAGCCAUAAACUUUGGUUAUCUUUUUUUUUUUUUUUUUUUUUUUUUGAGACGGAGUCUAGCUCCGUCGCCCAGGCUGGAGUGCAAUGGCACGACCUCUACUCACCACAACCUCCGCCUCCCGGAUUCAAGCGAUUCUCUUGCCUCAGCACUACCACCCCCACCAGUCCCCCACCCCGGCCGAGUAACUGGGACUACGGGCGCGCGCCAUCCAUGCCCGCUCAUUUUUGUAUUUUCAGUAGAGACUGAGUUUCACUAUGUUGGCCAGGCUGGUCUCAAACUCCUGACCUCGUGAUCCGCCCACCUCAGCCUCCCAAAGUGCUGGGGGGAUUACAGGUGUGAGCCACCGCGCCCGGCCAACCUUGGUUAUCUUCAAAUGCCUUGUUACUUCAGAUUUUAAAGUGCAUAGGCUUGUAGAACGAUGUUGCCUCUACAGAAGUUUCUUUACGAAUUGUAACGUUGUAGGUUCGUCGUUUCUCUCUUUCUUAGGAAGGUGCACGAAUUGGCUUUACUUUUUGGGGUUGAAUUUUGUAUAAACUCGGUUGAGGAGGCGUGUCAGUUUCCCUUCUAACAGUAAAGUGCUUGAUUAAUGUGAGAGAAAAAAAUUAAUGUUGGUCAUUUUCAGUUACGAUACCAAAAUUUUUUCUGCAUACUUUACUCUGAGUUACUUUUAUAUUUAAUUUGAAAGGCCAUUGUAGGAGAUAAAUUAUCACCUUUUAAGUUACUGUAAAUCAAUAGCUUAGGUAGAAAUUCAUUUAGUCAGAUCCUUCAGAUAUUCUAGGAAUUGACCCUUUUCACCUGCACUUCACUUCUGUGAAAAAUAAACCAUUCAUC
rnacentral:lncRNA from 1 species